AGGGUUGUGGCUCAGUGGUAGAGUGCUCGUCUAGCACAUGAAAGGCCCUGGGUUCAAUCCUCAGCACCUUCU
rnacentral:tRNA from 1 species